ACAGCGCCACGGCCCGUGGGAGCGAUACAUACAGCGCCACGGCCCGUGGGAGCGAUACAUACAGCGCCACGGCCCCUGGGAGCGAUACAUACAGCGCCACGGCCCCUGGGAGCGAUACAUACAGCGCCACGGCCCCUGGGAGCGAUACAUACAGCGCCACGGCCCCUGGGAGCGAUACAUACAGCGCCACGGCCCCUGGGAGCGAUACACACAGCGCCACGGCCCCUGGGAGCGAUACGUACAGCGCCACGGCCCCUGGGAGCGAUACAUACAGCGCCACGGCCCCUGGGAGCGAUACAUACAGCGCCACGGCCCCUGGGAGCGAUACAUACAGCGCCACGGCCCCUGGGAGCGGUACAUACAGCGCCACGGCCCCUGGGAGCGAUACAUACAGCGCCACGGCCCCUGGGAGCGAUACAUACAGCGCCACGGCCCCUGGGAGCGAUACAUACAGCGCCACGGCCCGUGGGAGCGAUACACACAGCGCCACGGCCCCUGGGAGCGAUACAUACAGCGCCACGGCCCGUGGGAGCGAUACACACAGCGCCACGGCCCGUGGGAGCGAUACACACAGCGCCACGGCCCGUGGGAGCGAUACAUACAGCGCCACGGCCUCUGGGAGCGAUACAUACAGCGCCACGGCCCCUGGGAGCGAUACAUACAGCGCCACGGCCCCUGGGAGCGCUGCGUGCUAUUGUAUACCUCCUAAGUGUCCCUUUCUAGGAGGGAGAAUCCCUCAGUCUGUAGGAGAGUUGCCCUGAGUCCUAAAUACUGCACUAUGUUGUUUAGGAGAGCUAUAUUACAGGGACACUUAAGUCCACAGAACAAAUACAGCUUAAUGUAGUUCUGGUGAACAUAAUUAUUUAUAUGCAAGCAUUUUAGUUUCAGAGUAAAAGACACCUCCAAGUGUCCACUCCUCAU